rnacentral:rRNA from 1 species
UACGAAGGGGGGCUAGCGUUGCUCGGAUUGACUGGGCGUAAAGGGCGCGUAGGCGGCUUGUACAGUCAGACGUGAAAUUCCUGGGCUCAACCUGGGGGCUGCGUUUGAUACGUAUGGGCUUGAGUUCGGAAGAGGGUCGUGGAAUUCCCAGUGUAGAGGUGAAAUUCGUAGAUAUUGGGAAGAACACCGGUGGCGAAGGCGGCGACCUGGUCCGAUACUGACGCUGAGGCGCGAAAGCGUGGGGAGCAAACAGG